rnacentral:rRNA from 1 species
GAUGAACGCUGGCGGCGUGCCUAAUACAUGCAAGUCGAACGAUGAACCCGGAGCUUGCUCCGGUGGAUUAGUGGCGAACGGGUGAGUAACACGUGAGUAACCUGCCCUUGACUCUGGGAUAACUGCGGGAAACUGUAGCUAAUACCGGAUACGACCCUCGGCGGCAUCGCCAGGGGGUGGAAAGAAUUUCGGUCAAGGAUGGACUCGCGGCCUAUCAGCUAGUUGGUGAGGUAACGGCUCACCAAGGCAACAACGGGUAGCCGGCCUGAGAGGGUGACCGGCCACACGGGGACUGAGACACGGCCCAGACUCCUACGGGAGGCAGCAGUGGGGAAUAUUGCACAAUGGGCGCAAGCCUGAUGCAGCAACGCCGCGUGAGGGAUGACGGCCUUCGGGUUGUAAACCUCUUUUAGUAGGGAAGAAGCGAAAGUGACGGUACCUGCAGAAAAAGCACCGGCUAACUACGUGCCAGCCGCCGCCGUAA